GGUGCUGCAUGGCUGUCGUCAGCUCGUGUUGUGAAAUGUUGGGUUAAGUCCCGCAACGAGCGCAACCCUUAUCCUUUGUUGCCAGCGGUCCGGCCGGGAACUCAAAGGAGACUGCCAGUGAUAAACUGGAGGAAGGUGGGGAUGACGUCAAGUCAUCAUGGCCCUUACGACCAGGGCUACACACGUGCUACAAUGGCGCAUACAAAGAGAAGCGACCUCGCGAGAGCAAGCGGACCUCAUAAAGUGCGUCGUAGUCCGGAUUGGAGUCUGCAACUCGACUCCAUGAAGUCGGAAUCGCUAGUAAUCGUGGAUCAGAAUGCCACGGUGAAUACGUUCCCGGGCCUU
rnacentral:rRNA from 1 species